rnacentral:rRNA from 1 species
GAACGCUGGCGGCGUGCCUAACACAUGCAAGUCGAACGGAGAUAUGAUUUCGGUUAUAUCUUAGUGGCGAACGGGUGAGUAACGCGUGAGCAACCUGACCUUCAGAGGGGGGAUAACACUUGGAAACAGGUGCUAAUACCGCAUAAGACCACGACCCGACAUCGGGAUGCGGUCAAAGGAGCAAUCCGCUGAGGGAGGGGCUCGCGUCCCAUUAGAUAGAUGGCGGGGUAACGGCCCACCAUGUCGACGAUGGGUAGCCGAGCUGAGAGGCUGAUCGGCCACACUGGAACUGAGACACGGUCCAGACUCCUACGGGAGGCAGCAGUGGGGAAUAUUGGGCAAUGGGCGCAAGCCUGACCCAGCAACGCCGCGUGAGGGAAGAAGGCCUUCGGGUUGUAAACCUCUGUCCUUGGUGACGAAACAAAUGACGGUAGCCAAGGAGGAAGCCCCGGCUAACUACGUG